rnacentral:lncRNA from 1 species
UCAGCAGCAGCAGCAAAGGCAGCUAAGUACGGUACGUGCUGUGUGGGGCCCAUGGUCACUGCCCUGCAAAACCUGGUGGGAUGGUGAAACACAUCCCACAGUUUCUAUCCAGACACAGAACUGAUCCCUGUCCUGCCUCGCUCGGGCCUCUCCUGACGUGGCUGUGGAUGCUCCGCUCUUUGGGCCACAAUGAAAAGACAGAGCUGGAAGAGGCCCAACCUUUCACUGUUGCUGCAGUGAGAUCUGACUUCUCCCAUCUCCUCCCUGCAGGAGCUGGUGUUCCUGGCAUCGCUGGCGUUCCUGGCAUUGCCGGUGUUCCUGGAGUUCCUGGUGUUCCUGGUGUUCCUGGUGUUCCUGGAGUUCCCGGUGUUCCUGGUGUUCCUGGCGCUGUGCCCGGUGUUGGAGGUGAGCAGAUGGGCUGUGAGCAGCUGCUGCUGGGGGCAUGCUGGCCUGGGCAGUGCCCUGACUGUGUCCCUUGUGUCCCCACAGUGGGUGGCCCGGCAGCGGCGGCUGCAGCCAAGGCUGCGGCAAAAGCAGCGGCGAUCGGUGAGUCAGCACUGUCACCACCGUCACCACCGGCUGUCCCAGGGAGGGAGGAGGUGUGUUGGCACACAGGGGAGUUGGGGACACCCCGGUGCUGUGGAGGUCAGUGGGAUUCCUGCUGUGGAGUCUGUCCCCUGGGACACGUCCCUGAACCUCUCUGCAGGAGCAGGACGCGUGCCCGGCGUUGGCGUGCCCGGCGUUGGCGUGCCCGGCGUUGGCGUUCCCGGAGUGCGUGUGCCUGGAGUGGGUGUGCCUGGAGUGGGUGUGCCUGGUGCUGGCGUGCCCGGUUUGGUGCCCGGGGUCGGUGUUCCAGGAGGUCCGGCAGCCGCUGCCAAAGCCGCCGCCAAAGCAGCCAAGUACGGAGCAGGUGGCCUGGCUCCCGGCGUGGGUGGCCUGGCUCCCGGCGUGGGUGGCCUGGUUCCUGGAGUAGGUGGCCUGGUUCCUGGAGUAGGUGGCCUGGUUCCCGGUGUUGGAGGUGUCCCAGGUGUUGGAGGUCCAGCAGCAGCAGCCAAAGCAGCAGCCAAGGCAGCCAAAUUUGGUGCUGGGGCUGGAGGGGUGCCCGGUGUGGGCGGAGUGCCCGGAGUGACCCCCGGCGUUGGUGGCGUGCCCGGCUUGGUGCCAGGGGUGGGAGUACCUGGAACUGGCAUCCUUCCCGGGGCAGGCAUCCCCCAAGUAGGGGUGCAGCCCGGUGCUAAACCUCCCAAAUUCGGUACGUACCCCUGCCGUGCCCCUGCCCCAGGGCCACCUCGGACUGUCCCCGGGCACUCUCCUGCUGUGGCCAUCGGGGUGCUGACCUCUCCUCCUGUCCCCUGUGGGCCCACGGCACCCCGAUGGCGUGGGAAGUGGUGUGCUGUCACCCAUGGAUGCAAAGUGCCACCUGUACCCCUGCCCUGGACUUGCUGGGGACAGUUUUCCCCUUCAGGAGUCACACAGGGGCUGAAGCCCCUCUGGGUGCUGUGAGAUGGGUGCUGGGGACUCCCAGCAUGGGGGGCAAGGCCAGCCCGGCAGGUUGGGCGGUGCUGGGGGGUGCUCCGGGCUGGGGGGGACAGGCUGUGGGGGGACAGGUGCUAACGGUGUCUCUCUGGCAGGUGUUCCUGGGGUUGGAGUCCCAGGAGUUGGUGGCCUCCCAGGUGAGUGCUGGCAGUGGGGAUGUGCAGGCAGAGGAAUGCUUCCCUAGGGGUGUGGAGCUGGAGGAAUGCUUCCUCUGGGCAUGGGGAGAGCGGGGUGCCCCAGGAAGGACGGGCACACUUGGGACUGGCUGAGGAGCGGAGCAGACACUGCCCCACUGUCUGUCCCUGCUGGUGCUUACCCGGGCUACUCCUUGUAGGUGGCCUAGGAGUCGGUGGGCUCGGAGCUGGUGGCCUCGGUGAGUGAUGCUGGUUCUGGGUGCCAGGGCUGAGCUGCAGGGAGCAGCAGCAGCAGUGGAGAGCUGGCAGAGUGAUGGAAAGCAAAGGGAGUCUGUGGGUCACUUCUGUCCCCUUCCAGUCUCACAGUACAAUCCCACCCCACUCCUUGCCUUGUGCCCCGUCCUGUUUGCCACCUGCCGUGUUCCCAGGGAUUGCCAUUGCUGGGCAGGGACUGAGGGCCACAGCACCAGCCUUGCCCAUGCCGUGGGAACAGGGGAUGGUACAGUACCAUGUCCCCAGUGUGUGGAGAUUCAGGUCCCUCCUGGGACGCUCUGGGCCCCUCCUGAAGGGUCUGGCUGUGGCCCUGGGGCUGCACUGGUACCCCCCUCUGACACAGCACUCUUGUACCCAGGAGCCGCUGGGAAACCUCCCAAGCCAGGUAAGGGACAGCCAGAGGGGCUGGACGAGUGACUCCAGCCCCUGCUCCCAUCCACAUUGCCAUGGCUGUGCUCACGCUCCCCACCCUCACUGAGCCUCACCCACCUGCAGCUUUUGGUGCUGGGGGGCUGCAGCCAGGUGAGUGCUGCAGUUUGGGGCUGGUGUGGGAGCGUGUCCCCUACCCUGCCACACCGGUCCCCGCUUGCUGCCAUUCCCUGCUGGCACACGGCUGCCUGGGAGAGCGCUGGGAAGCCAGAGGGGUGCCAGGGUGGGGACGGCAGCUUUUGCAUCAGCGCCUGUCCCUGGAGUAAGCGAGGGAUCCCAGGCGAGCUGUCCCCGCUCCACGUUAGGGUGGCACUGCUGUCACUGGCUGUCACCGGCUGUUGCUUUUUCCCCAGGGGUUGGAGUUCCCGGCUUCGGCGUAUCACCGAUAUUUCCAGGUACCACCCCCAGCUCGGCACCUCAGCGCACAGCCGGGACAUGGCCGGUUCAUGGGGCACGGGCCGGGGAGGGACCCCCGGGGCCGGGGAGAGACCCCCGGGGCUGAGGAGAGACCCCCGGGGCUGAGGAGAGACCCCCGGGGCUGAGGAGAGACCCCCGGGGCCGGGGAGAGACCCCCGGGGCUGAGGAGAGACCCCCGGGGCCGGGGAGGGACCCCCGGGGCUGUGGGACAGACAAAUUGGGGUGCCUCGUGCGUGCUGAGGGCUUCGCUCUCCUUUCAGGUGGGGUCGGCGGCCUGGGAUUUGGCGGUGAGUAGCCAUCGCCCCGGCACGGCGUUUUGGGGUGGGGGUGCGGGGGUCCUGCUCAUUCCUGCUCAUUCCGCUCCGCCUUCCCCCUGCAGGGAAGCCCCCCAAGCCCUACGGAGGAGCCCUGGGUGCCCUGGGCUUUAGAGGUGAGCGCGUUUCCCGGCUGGCAGGGCCGGUUGUGCCCCCGGCCGUGCCCCCGGCAGUGCGGGCUGCGGGGUGCGGGCUGCGGGGUGCGGGGUGCGGGCUGCGGGCAGGGCUCACCCCGCGUUCCGUGCAGGCGGAGCGGGCUGUGCGGCAGGGAAGUACUGCGGCAGGAAGCGGAAGUAACGCUCCGUCACCGAUCACCUCAUGAACUUUGGUGCUACUGCAUGGUCCAGAAUGUAAAUCCGAAGCAAAGCUGAGACACCCCCUCCUCAGGCCCCGGAACCCCCCCCCGUCCAUGCCGGGGCCGUGCCCGGCCCCGCGUUCCACGGAGGGACCCCGCGUUCCCCGGCAGCGUCCGGGGCCCCCCGGCCCUCGGUCCCGGCAGGGAGCGCGGAAUAAAGUGCGGGGAGCAGCCGUCCCCCUUGGUGCU